rnacentral:rRNA from 1 species
GAUGAACGCUAGCGGGAGGCCUAACACAUGCAAGCCGAGCGGUAUUUGUCCUUCGGGACAGAGAGAGCGGCGUACGGGUGCGGAACACGUGUGCAACCUGCCUUUAUCUGGGGGAUAGCCUUUCGAAAGGAAGAUUAAUACCCCAUAAUAUAUCGAAUGGCAUCAUUCGAUAUUGAAAACUCCGGUGGAUAGAGAUGGGCACGCGCAAGAUUAGAUAGUUGGUGAGGUAACGGCUCACCAAGUCAGUGAUCUUUAGGGGGCCUGAGAGGGUGAUCCCCCACACUGGUACUGAGACCCGGACCAGACUCCUACGGGAGGCAGCAGUGAGGAAUAUUGGACAAUGGGUGAGAGCCUGAUCCAGCCAUCCCGCGUGAAGGACUAAGGCCCUAUGGGUUGUAAACUUCUUUUAUACUGGGAUAAACCUACUUACGUGUAAGUAGCUGAAGGUACAGUAUGAAUAAGCACCGGCUAACUCCGUG